rnacentral:rRNA from 1 species
CUAAUUACGUGCCAGCAGCCGGGGUAAUAAGUAGGUGGCCAGCCUCGUCCGGAAUUAGUGGGCGUAAAGCGCUCGCAGGGGGUUCUUUAAGUUUGAUGUGAAAUCCUACGGCUCAACCGUAAACGUGCAUUGGAAACUGGGGAACUUGAGUGCAGAAGAGGAGAGUGGAAUUCCACGUGUAGCGGUGAAAUGCGUAGAGAUGUGGAGGAACACCAGUGGCGAAGGCGACUCUCUGGUCUGUAACUGACGCUGAGGAGCGAAAGCGUGGGGAGCGAACAGGAUUAGAUACCCUGGUAGUCCACGCCGUAAACGAUGAGUGCUAGGUGUUAGGGGGUUUCCGCCCCUUAGUGCUGAAGUUAACGCAUUAAGCACUCCGCCUGGGGAGUACGGCCGCAAGGCUGAAACUCAAAGAAUUGACGGGGGCCCGCACAAGCGGUGGAGCAUGUGGUUUAAUUCGAAGCAACGCGAAGAACCUUACCAGGUCUUGACAUCCUCUGAACACUCUAGAGAUAGAGUUUUCCCUUCGGGGACAGAGUGACAGGUGGUGCAUGGUUGUCGUCAGCUCGGUCGUGAGAUGUUGGGUUAAGUCCCGCAACGAGCGCAACCUUGAUCUUAGUUGCCAGCAUUAAGUUGGGCACUCUAAGGUGACUGCCGGUGACAAACCGGAGGAAGGUGGGGAUGACGUCAAAUCAUCAUGCCCCUUAUGACCUGGGCUACACACGUGCUACAAUGGAUGGAACAAAGGGAAGCGAACCCGCGAGGUCAAGCAAAUCCCACAAAACCAUUCUCAGUUCGGAUUGUAGGCUGCAACUCGCCUACAUGAAGCCGGAAUCGCUAGUAAUCGCGGAUCAGCAUGCCGCGGUGAAUACGUUCCCGGGCCUUGUACACACCGCCCGUCACACCACGAGAGUUGGUAACAUCCCGAAGUCGCGUGAGGUAACCGUAUGGAGCCAGCCGCCCCU